UUCUUCGACCAGGAGGAGGUCCUGAAAGACCCUCGAGUUCCCGGCCAAUGCACCAAAUGAAAGACCCCCGAAGGGAGACCCUCCCUCAGACACUUAAGUCCCGGGACAGCCGCGUACCCAAGAAGACACUGAGACCA
rnacentral:pre_miRNA from 7 species